rnacentral:rRNA from 1 species
CGCGAAGAACCUUACCUGGUCUUGACAUGUACGGAACCCUCCAGAGACGGAGGGGUGCCUUCGGGAGCCGUAACACAGGUGCUGCAUGGCUGUCGUCAGCUCGUGUCGUGAGAUGUUGGGUUAAGUCCCGCAACGAGCGCAACCCUUGUCAUUAGUUGCCAUCAUUAAGUUGGGCACUCUAAUGAGACUGCCGGUGACAAGCCGGAGGAAGGUGGGGAUGACGUCAAGUCCUCAUGGCCCUUAUGACCAGGGCUUCACACGUCAUACAAUGGUCGGUACAGAGGGUAGCCAAGCCGCGAGGCGGAGCCAAUCUCACAAAACCGAUCGUAGUCCGGAUUGCACUCUGCAACUCGAGUGCACGAAGUCGGAAUCGCUAGUAAUCGCAGGUCAGCAUACUGCGGUGAAUACGUUCCCGGGUCUUGUACACACCGCCCGUC